UAAUACAUCUGGGGUAGAUUCUUAUUUAUUUAUGACAGACAUAUACCCAACUACUCAAAAUCACUUGUUAUUACAAACCCGACUACAUCAAGUUUUCACUUGUGAGCUCCUGUAAAAAUGAUUUGCCUCAUCUUUUUAAUUUUCA
rnacentral:pre_miRNA from 1 species